UCCUGUCUACGGUGGCUGCAGAGGACCAAACAGUUCGGGAGCGCGUAUGAUCAGUUUCUCUUUGCAGGUAUUUCGGCAUACCCGCAUUAAUAAGGAUUGGUGUGCCCCGAGAAGUGGUCCUGACCGAGGCCGACAUGUGCCUCCUUAAUCAUUUAUGAGAGUUAAUGCAGAGAGUGAGCGCGAGCAGCAAAAGCUGCUCCCCCAGGAGACCUGCGGGCACAAGGAAAUUACAAAUCAGCCGCACUAUAAACCAUGCUGCCAGCAGGGACGAGCGGUGGACUGCACCGGCGUGCUGCCUGCCUGCCUGCUUCCUCUUGUGCACGUAUUAGAGAAACGCUGAUAAACCUUGAAAGUCUGAACCUCCUGUUUGUGCGCUAACAAGCCCACAGCAGGCUUCCCAGCAUCUUUUGUGCUAAAUUACAAAAGCCUGGAGCUAUUGAGGACGUCGUGAUCACAGCUGUGGGUGCUGCCAAACAACAAAUCCCACAUUACUCUUGACCUUCAGCGUCCAAAUGGAACUCAUCUCAGAAACCCUUAAAAGAUCUUUAAAAUUACACCGAAUAAAACGGACAGACAAGGACAGAGAGUGUAAAACACUCUAGUAUCAGUCAUCACUCCCUGACCUUAGCCUGAGUCUGUCUGGGGCUGUCUGAACACAGCCUGACAGAAAAGCACUCUCGCCCUGGCUCAGCAAUGUCCCCAUGACUUUGCAGAACCCUUCCAGACUUCAGGAUCAUCUAUUUUAUGGAUGACAGAGAAGUGCAUGGAGAGCAAGAGAGAGGAAGCUUCCAAAUCAAGUAUGUCUCUGUGGGAGAGUUUAAUGCCUGAAAAACACCCAAUGGUGCAGGAAAGCCACGGGGCGUCCCUAGAGACCGUUUAACCUGCAGUGUGUGUAGAAGGAAGUUGUCAACAUACCUAUGAGAACAAAAUAAAGUGUUUCACAAAUUCAUCACAUCACCUGUCAUAAAGGUGUUUAAAACUAAUAUAUAUCUAUAUGUUUGUUUAUUUGUAAGGCAAAUAACA